rnacentral:tRNA from 1 species
GCCUACAUAGCUCAGUUGGUAGAGCGCAUCCUUGGUAAGGAUGAGGUCCCCGGUUCGAAUCCGGGUGUAGGCUCCA